GUUGCUGUCGUAUAAAGGUAGUGCAGAAGGUCUUCUAAACUUUUGGUGCAGGUUCGACUCCUGCUAGCAACA
rnacentral:tRNA from 1 species